AAAAAUCAGUUUAAAGUCAUUUGCAGCCAAUGGUUAUAACUACUUUCCUUUAAAGAACUGACAAAUGGUCACAACUUACUCAUACAAUGAAUGAAAAAAAUGAACACUAGCUAACAACUUUGUUUGGGCAAAUAAUAGUUUUUUUUUUUUUUUUUGGGCAAACGGCAAAUAAUAGUUAUGUGUUAUUCACGAAUCAGUGAGGAAAACUAUAGGAUUUUUUUUUUUGAUAAACCCUAUCGGCUGAUCCGGCCAGCACGAGUAGAAACGCACCGAAGUGUUUCAGAGUGGACUUCUCCCCAAAGGGCCACUAUACUAUUUAUCCCGAGUUU
rnacentral:lncRNA from 1 species